GUAAAUAUGUGGUGUGCAGCGUUUGCUUUUAGCAUUUUCGCUCCUAAAACAUAGUUCUUAUGUGCUAGUGUUGGCUUUUAGGGCCAGUUAGAUGGUUAACGGCUACUUGGAA
rnacentral:ncRNA from 1 species